rnacentral:rRNA from 1 species
GACGGAGGGGGCUAGCGUUGUUCGGAAUUACUGGGCGUAAAGGGCGCGUAGGCGGAUUAGUAAGUUGGAAGUGAAAGCCCGGGGCUUAACCUCGGAACUGCUUUCAAAACUGCUAGUCUAGAGUGAAGUAGGGGAUGAUGGAAUUCCUAGUGUAGAGGUGAAAUUCUUAGAUAUUAGGAGGGACACCGGUGGCGAAGGCGGUCAUCUGGAGUUCAACUGACGCUGAGGCGCGAAAGCGUGGGGAGCAAACAGG